GGAGUUAGCCGGUGCUUCUUCUGUGAGUGAUGUCCUUCCUGCCGGCUAUUAACCCGCAGGCCUUCUUCCUCACUGAAAGUGCUUUACAACCCGAAGGCCUUCUUCACACACGCGGCAUGGCUGGAUCAGGGUUGCCCCCAUUGUCCAAUAUUCCCCACUGCUGCCUCCCGUAGGAGUCUGGGCCGUGUCUCAGUCCCAGUGUGGCUGAUCAUCCUCUCAGACCAGCUACGGAUCGUCGCCUUGGUGAGCCGUUACCUCACCAACCAGAUAAUCCGACAUAGGCUCAUCCGAUAGCGCGAGGCCCGAAGGUCCCCCGCUUUCCCCCGUAGGGCGUAUGCGGUAUUAGCCUGGGUUUCCCCAGGUUAUCCCCCACUACCGGGCAGAUUCCUAUGCAUUACUCACCCGUCCGCCGCUCGCCACCAGGGAGCAAGCUCCCCGUGCUGCCGCUCGACUUGCAUGUGUUAGGCCUGCCGCCAGCGUUCAUCUGAGCCAGAAUACAAACUACUGA
rnacentral:rRNA from 1 species